rnacentral:rRNA from 1 species
GACGAACGCUGGCGGCGUGCUUAACACAUGCAAGUCGAACGGAAAGGCCCUGCUUUUGUGGGGUGCUCGAGUGGCGAACGGGUGAGUAACACGCGAGUAACCUGCCCUUGUCUUUGGGAUAACUUCAGGAAACUGGGGCUAAUACCGGAUAGGAGCUCCUGCUGCAUGGUGGGGGUUGGAAAGUUUCGGCGGUUGGGGAUGGACUCGCAGCUUAUCAGCUUGUUGGUGGGGUAGUGGCUUACCAAGGCUUUGACGGGUAGCCGGCCUGAGAGGGUGACCGGCCACAUGGGGACUGAGAUACGGCCCAGAAGCCUACGGGAGGCAGCAGGGGGGAAUAUUGCGCAAUGGGCGGAAGCCUGAUGCAGCAACGCCGCGUGCGUGAUGACGGCCUUCGAGUUGUAAACCGCUUUCGCCUGUGACGAAGCGGGAGUGACGGUAAUGGGUAAGGAAGCAACGGCUAACUACGUG